rnacentral:lncRNA from 1 species
AUGAGUAGCAGGCUUGGAAUGCAGGACCAGCCCAGCCAGCUCAGCCCACACAGAGCAGGACUCCAGAGGGACCACCUCUUCUCCAGCUCUUGCCCUGCAGCACAUCCCAGACAAAGCUGGGCCCUGCCCAUUUGCCCUGUUUCUCUGCAAAGCCAGGAAGACUUCAGUUGCUGCGGACCUGUGACUAGUCUCCUGCUGGACAUGCAGCCCUGUCCUGUGCGAUCGUCUCACCAGCAAGAACGACACAGGACACUCGGAUCCUUCUGCAGUAAAGCUUUAAUGCAUCUUGAGAGGGAGAGCAAAAGCUUACAGAGCGGAGACCCCGAACUCCCAAAAACCCAUCCCUUAUAUAGGCUGGCAACCGCCGCCUCGGACGCGUCACCCCCUGACUGGCUGCAGCUCAUCGGACCAUAUGACGCCACGGGAGAGGCAGAGACCAAGGGAUGGAAAGUUACCCAGCGCCUGCGCACUAACUUGUUUACCAUUCGGUGCCUGCUGGAUGCAGGCACCAUCUUGUAAUGGAGAAUGCAGGGAUGGCUCCCUACACAGCCCCAGGUCAUCGCAUCCUAGGGAACUCUUGGACUAAAAUGACCCCAAGGAGAGCACCUGCAGGGAUGCUGUUCCCGAGCUGGCCCCCAUAUGGUUCUUGGGAUGUUUUGACUCAGAGCAUAAGUUACAAAGUCUUGUGUCUCAAGGGCCUCUGCUUUUUCUGAGAGUCUCCCUGAUGGGUGAAGGCCUGUACUCUAAGGACCAAGGCCUGCAAGCUAGCUAACUGUUUCUACAUGCAGAAGGGCACUGUCUUAGUUACUUUUCUAUUGCUGUGACAAAACCCCAUGACCAAGGAACUUAGAAAGAAAGAGUUUAUUGGGGGUUUUCAGUUUCAGAGGGUUAGAGUCCAUGGCCAUCAUGGUGAGGAGCUUACUUCUGAUCUAUAAGCACAAGGCAGAGAGGGGGUUGGAGAGUACUAACUAGGAAGAAUAUGGACACCUCAAACCUCAAACCUCAGCUCAGUGGCACACCUCCUCCAACAAGGCCACACCUUUCAAUCUUCCCAAAUAGUUUCGCCAACCGGGGACCAAAAUAUUCAAAUAUAUGCGUCUAUGGGGGCCAUUCUCAUUCAAACCACUAUAGGCAUGGUGUCCUCACAUGACCUCAGGAAGCACUUCCUAUUGCCAUGAUCAUUACACAGGUGAGCAGACAGGUGUGGAGGUGUGGUGGUGGGAAUCCAGUCUUGGCUUGUCCAGCUGAGAACUCACCUAUUAACCCGCCUACUCUCACACUUUGGUAGUUUGUUUAGAACAACAAGCUGUUCUGAAUAAACUGCAAAGGCAGUAAAUUAAUAAAACA